AAGCCUCUCCCAGGCUUAGUCU
rnacentral:miRNA from 1 species